rnacentral:rRNA from 1 species
GAUGAACGCUGGCGGCGUGCUUAAUACAUGCAAGUCGAGCGAACAGACGAGGAUCUUGCUCCUCUGACGUUAGCGGCGGACGGGUGAGUAACAUGUGGAUAACCUCCCUAUCAGACUGGGAUAACUUCGGGAAAGCGGAGCUAAUACCAGAUAAUAUAUUGAACCGCAUGGGUCAAUAGUGAAAGACGGUUUUGCUGUCACGUAUAGAUGGAUCCGCGCCGCAUUAGAUAGUUGGUAAGGUAACGGCUUACUAAGGCAACGAGGCGUAGCCGACCUGAGAGGGUGAUAGGACACACUGGAAGUGAAACACGGUCCAGACUCCUACGGGAGGCAGCAGUAGGGAACCGUCGGCAAUGGGGGGGAGCAUGACGGAGCAACGCCGCGUGAGUGAUGAAGGUCUUCGGAUCGUAAAACUGUGUUAUUAGGGAAGAACAACUGUGUAAGUAACUAUACACGUAUUGACGGUACCUAAUCAGAAAGCAACGGCUAACUACGUG